rnacentral:sRNA from 1 species
AUGUACCACCAGUACACCCGGAUCAUGAGCGCGUCGCGCGCACCACUUGACGACCACUCGCUACGGUUUGUCAGCC